ensembl:processed_transcript
GUUUUGGCCACUGGCAGUUUUAUUUAUCCAGUAAACUUUAUUACAUGGUACAUUAAAGGUUUGUUGUUUGUUUGUUUUUUUAAUUCAUGAGAGAUUUGUAAGGCAAUCCCUGCAGUACUCCACAAUUUUCUAUUGUCUAGAAGUAGGACUAUUGGUUCAGCUAAUCAGGUUACUCAGCAUACUCAAAUAUGCUGGUCAGUUUGCAAACUUUGCUGUUUAGAGAGCAAACUGUCAGGAGACAAAACAUCUGGGUCCAUACAGCAAAGCACAAAUGGGUCCGUUCCUGUAAACCACCUUGAAAGCAACAUUCAUCUACAAGGUGGAAUGGUGAAUUUUUUCGUGCAGAUUUUUGCUGUGGGAAGUAGCAGCUACAACCUGAGAGAACCUUCCUACCCUGAUGGCGGGAGGUUUUCCUAUAAGGCAGGAAAGAAGUCAGUUAAGUGAUUUGGGGGUGUGGGAGCCUGCCAUCCUACUGGAGGAAGUGACAAAGACUUCCAAGUUCUAGAAGUGUCUGAGUAGUUGUGGAGCUGGAAGGAUUAUUUAGGCACAGCUAGAGUCUCUGAACACAAGGAUUCCCUACCCAAGAGAUUUCUGCAGCCUCUCUUCAUCUGUCUAAAACAAAGCUCAGAGUCCUGAGACCAAAAUCUUGCAUCUGUCCAAACAAGGAAACAAACAGGAAGUGGGAAGAAACCUCCGUACUUAGAAUGUCAAGCUGCUAAAAAGAAUAAAGAAAUAAAUUGCUUCGAGGUGACCAUUUGCUCAGUCCAAGAAGCCUUGUAGACUUUGGUAAAAUCCUCCUGUCUGUGCUAAUAGGGAUGACUUUCCUCCGCUAGAUUGUAGAUUAUGGGAUGACCAGUGAGGCAUGAGCCAGGGGACCAAUGUUACCCUAGAACUAGUCACACCCUUACUGGUUUAUCAGUUAUGGGUUCCUUGCAAACAAAAGAUGCUGUUACGGUCGAUGUUAGUGUGCACAUGUAAUUUCUGCCCCGGGAGGUUUUCAAGAGAUCAGGAAUUCAAGGUCAAGCCUAGACUAAAUAGUUGACCUAAAAAAAAAAAAGUGACAAAAUAUACCUAGUGUCUACGAUCAUAAUGGCAUUGAACAAGGUGGAUGUGAAGUGUGAGGAAUAACAGAAACAAAUUAAGAGAUGAAUACCUAUAUCUUACCUAUGCUGUGGAAAAGCAGCCCUUGAAUCCACACAUCCUGAUUUUAAGUCUUGGACAGCUUUCCACAAGAGAAACACCUGGGAUAGCUUAUGAAAAAGGUUUCUUGUGACUCGUGGCUCCAGAGAGUCCAGUCCUAGAUGACCGGACACUUUUCCUUCUUUGUAAAGAUUCAUUCUUCUAGAAUGAGGUGUUUAGACAAUUCUAGAAUGGAAAAAAUCCAAAAGUGGGCAUGGAGGCACAUGCCUGAGGCCCAUACCAAAGGCUGAGGCUGGAUACCACCGAGUUGAAUCAAGCCCUGAAGCUAGCCUGAACAACAGAACAAGACUCUGUAUCCAAAGUAAAAAACACGUUGCUUUCAGUAUUUUAAAUGGAUUUUAGUUUAGGAUCUCAUUUUUAAACUCAAAACUUAAGAUGAAGGUGGCUAUAUCACAAGACCUAAUCACACUCAAUAUUUUGGCAAAUACAGCACAAGAACAAUGUGUCCUCAGUUCACUAAGAUUUAUGAGCAUAAAUUAAAUCUGUCUGAUUCUGUCUUGUUUAAUCAUUCACGAAUAUCAUUAGCACACACUCAUGGCCUUGCCAUUGUAAGUGCUAAUCCUAGUCAUGACAAUUGACUAUAUCUGUUAUUAUGUGAUUUGAUGUUUUGAGUAUUGACAUCUGUCUUCUAGAUUUCCUGAAAAUGACAGCCUGCCAAUCUCCAAGCAAGAUCAUAUCCCCUGUGCUGGUUGGGUUUGUGUGUCAACAAGCUGGAGUUAUCACAGAAAAAGGAGCCUCCCUUGUGGAGAUGCUUCCAUGAGAUCCAAUUGUAAGGCAUUUUCUCAAUUAGUGAUCAAGGGUGGGAGGGCCCGGCCCUUUGUGGGUGGUGCCAUUCCUGGGAUGGUAGUCCUGGAUUCUAUAGGAAAGCAAGCUGAGCAAGCCAGGGGAAGCAAGCCAGUAACAUUCCUCUGUGGGCUUUGCUCCUGCUUCCUGACCUGCUUGAGUUCCUGUCCUGACUUCCUUUGGUGAUGAAUAGCAAUGUGGAAAUGUAAGCUAAAUAAACCCUUUCCUCCCCAACUUGCUUCUUGGU